rnacentral:rRNA from 1 species
GACGAACGCUGGCGGCGUGCUUAACACAUGCAAGUCGAACGGUGAAGCGCCUUCCUUUUUGGUGGGUGUGGAUGAGUGGCGAACGGGUGAGUAACACGUGAGUAACCUGCCCCCUUCUUCUGGAUAACCGCAUGAAAGUGUGGCUAAUACGGGAUAUUCUGGGUCUGUCGCAUGAUGGGUCUGGGAAAGAUAUUGUUUCGGUGGGGGAUGGGCUCGCGGCCUAUCAGCUUGUUGGUGGGGUGAUGGCCUACCAAGGCGGUGACGGGUAGCCGGCCUGAGAGGGUGGACGAUCACACUGGGACGGAGAAACGACCCAGACUACUACGGGAGGCGGCAGUGGGGAAUAGUGCACAAUGGGCGCAAGCCUGAUGCAGCGACGCCGCGUGAGGGAUGGAGGCCUGCGGGUUGUGAACCUCUUUCGCCAGUGAAGCAGGCCUGCCUCGUUUGUGGGUGGGUUGACGGUAGCUGGAUAAGAAGCGCCGGCUAACUACGUG